rnacentral:snRNA from 1 species
GUAGACCAAAUGAUGCUCUCACU